AGAAAACUAACGUUCAGCUCGUUUACACUGACAUAUCCGUGAUUGAUUAAUAUAUAUAUUACAUAAAUAUAAGAUAUUUACGGUACCAAAUACUGUAUGCAUUUCCUUCUAGUACACUUUUUGGACAUGCUUCUGAGUGUCAUUAAUACUUUAUAAUUUACACAGAGAUAUUUUUUUUCAUUUUUAUUAGUUUUUCUUUGAUACCCGUGUAUUUCUCGACAAUCUCAGUUUUACAUAGGAUUUUUACAUUGUCAAAAUAGCAUAGCCCUUAAGCUGCAUUUUAAUCAAGACUAUAUCGAAAUAUCAAAUAUUUUAAAUAAUUGUAUAUUUUUAUCAAUAUAGUUUAUUUUGUAUUUUGUUCUUAUAUGGAACAUAAAGACAUACAUGUCCUGAAAACUUUAGUGUAAAUAGCAGUGAUAUUGAAUGAAUUUGAACACUAUUUGUAGUAACAGUUUAAACAGUUGUCGAAAGGCCUUCAUUAUGGCCAGAGAGGAUUUUUUUCGAUUAAAAGUUAUAUCAAUUUACUACAAUAUUUUUUAUGUAUCAUGCAACACAUUUAAGUAGAUGGACAUUGUGGUCCUUAUAGAUGUUUUUGAGGUCCUCAGUGCUUUCGAGGGUCUACUCUAACCUUUAAUCACAUGACCUUGCGUAUUUGACAUUGAACCAUUAUGUUAUACGUGACUACAUUUGAAUCUGUAGGAAAUAUUUUUAUUAAAACAAGUAAAAUUCUUAGAUAUUUUCAGACUAAUUUCUCAAAUUGAGAUUUUACAUCUUGAAAAGAUUUUUCUUUAUAAAAUCAUAAGUGGUAAAACAGAACAAGGCACUGCAGAUUCAAGAUAUUUCACUGAGUCAUUUGUGAGUUCAACGUUUCGAGUACGUCGUCAUACAGCUAAAAAAUCAUGAUAUUUUACGGUAUUUGGAAGUUUCAAAAUUAAAAGUGAUACAGUAUGUUUAUCAUGUAAAAAAAAGAAUUAAACUAUUCACGCAGUCUUUCCAAAUAUAUCCAGAAGAAAGAAAGGGACUAUUCUAUCAAUAAGCUGAUCAAAAGUAGUGAGAUUCAUUAAACAUGUCAAGAAUUGAACGAUCCACAGGCACAAGAUUUGCUGAAAUGAGACUUUACAUUAUAAGUUCUGUAUUAUCUGAAUACAUUUUAAUUUAGAAUAUAUAUGAAUAUCAAAAACAUUCAAUACAUGUUUUACUUUCAUACUUGAAAAGGGGUUAGUUAAUGUUUUAUCCUUGAAGGAACAAAAAUACACAUGAUUUACUACAGCUUGAAAUUAAUAAAGAAGAAAACCCUUUGAAAGAUAUCAUCCCAACAGUAAUAAAGGAUAAGAGGACCAUUGUUGCGUUGGGACGAUUACCUGAUACUCAAUAUCUGACCUUUUACAAUAUUGUCAUACCUGUUACGUCAGGACAUGCAGCAUGUGUCUAAAUAUCUACAAGUAACUUUCAUUUGCAUGUCUUUCAAAUAUAUUUGUAUCAUUAAUUCGUUACAGGUUAAACAAACCGAGGAAUUUUACUUAUGAGUAUAAUGUUUAAAGUACGUCAUGCAGCUGAGGUUCCCCGGUAAUAGAAAGUAGGAUAUAAUUCAUUUUGCUACUGCAUCAAUAUCAUGUACUAGUAAUUGAAAUAUUUAUAUAACUAUGAAGUAAAUUUAGAAUUGAUCUGAACAUGGAAAGUAACUGCAAUUACAAAUAGUGGCAGCCUAGAACAUGUCGAAAAUGGAAUUGAUAAUUAAGUGCAUAUAUCAUUAUUGUAUCUGUAGGCUACAUUUUAGUUAAGGUGAUAUCUGAACAUUAUAAAAACAUAAUACGAUAACUCUUUGGGAGCACAGAAUACAGCUAAGCAAAAUACAAAAUACUCGGUUUGAUUGCGUCAGUUUAUAAGAGAUAAUGUAAAGUACAAUAUUUGUAUAUCCAAACACUGAUCUUGUAGAUAGAUUUGAACAUAACAAGAGAAACGACAAAAAAUUUAAAGAAAUGAAAGUCAUUGAAAAUGUUAGGAGAGAAUUUUAAAUUUUGAUGCAAUAAACGUAUGUAUGAUACAUAAAAAUACUUCUUUGUCUUCAGUAACGUUUCAAAAACAAAGUUUAUGUUUUAUCCUUUUAAAUACACAGAUGGUAACCACAGGAUGACAACAAUGAAGUAAUUUCUAUAGCUUUUGUCUGUAGCCAAGACUCAGAGCAACCAAAAAUACGUAAAGGACAAUUGUGGCCUAAAGUCUAUCACUCGAUCUUGAUUAUAAGACGUUGCAACAUUAUGUCAUACAUGUCUAUAUUUGGAUCUGUAGAUGCAAAAAGACACAGGUGGGAUCAUACAUUGAAAUUUAAGAAGAUUUAAUGUAUGUUACUGGAUCUGUAAAUUAGACUCAGCAUAUAUUACCCAAACAAUAAUAAGUAACAAGAGGGCCAUAGAGGCAUUUAGUCGCUAUCUUACAUUUGGUAUCAUACCUUGCACUAUUGUAUCUACAUCUGGAUCUCCAGCAAGGUUCUGAAUGUGCAAAAUGACACAGGUGGAAACACAACGUGAAACUAUAGCAAGAUGUUAACUGGAUCUGUAGAUACGAUUCAGCACAUAUUAUCCACGCAACAGGGAGUAAUGAGAGGGACAUCGAGGCCUUAAGUCGCUCACUUGACCGAAAUUGCUAUGACAAUCUGAACUCUACAUGGAUGACCUAGAUUCGAAUGAAUCUGUCAGAGUAGCCACUAAAGAAACAUUGAUGUUAUUAGCUUGCUGGUUAGGGGUAUGGGAUGUCCUUUAAACAAAUUCGCCAAGGUUCGUAUUUAAAGAACAGACGACGGACUUUAAACGAUUACUAAACCUGAUCAAGUUCUGAUCUAAAAUGAAGAGUGAAGGGUUCGCAUACAACUGAGGCAAAUUAAAUGGUGAGAGACAGUUAUGAUUUGAUAAAUAAUACAUUAAAUGGUACUGCCAAGAAACAACUUUAAAGACAUAAGGACACAACCUAGGGUCAGGAUGUAUAAUUACAUCUGAAGCUCACAGUUACUUUAUCUUAAACUUGAGAGUUGAGGGAGUAUAUACGAAAUAAAUUCCCGCUUAAUUAGGUAUUACAUAUAAUGGCCGACUAACGGAUUGUAUAUAAAUAUUUUAUACAAAUAGGGCAAAUAUAAGAUAAAAGUUUAUAUAAUUAUUAUAUUAAAUACCAUUUGGAAAGUCGGAAAAACAUGAGCACACUUUAUUUUUGACAAGUAAAGAAAAAUGUCCGACAAAACAUUUCUUUGUAGAUACGAAAAAGGAAACUCAGUUUUUUUUUUGUAAGAUUUGGAGUAAAAUCCUUAAGGAAAUUUUCGAAAAUAUAAUUCAUUUUUGAUACUAAAUAAACAAGGGCUCGUCGAACACGAAAUGCACCCCUUGAUGCAUUUAGUUAUUGCACAAGGAACAGAAAUUAUAUGCUCACUGUAAACAAAAGUUCUACCAUUCUGGUUUAAUCUGACCUUGAACUUUAACCUAUCAACCUAGCAAGAGAUUACAAAUUGAUCUUGGUGCCAUCCACUGAGCCAUUUUUGAAUGUUCCACAUUUCAAGACUAGCUCAAGGUCAAAAUCAAGGUCAAAUUUCAUUUCGGUACAAAAUAAUGUGUAUGUGGU
rnacentral:lncRNA from 1 species